rnacentral:rRNA from 1 species
UACGGAGGGUGCAAGCGUUGUCCGGAUUCAUUGGGUUUAAAGGGUGCGCAGGCGGGACAUUAAGUCAGGGGUGAAAGACGGUUGCUCAACAAUCGCAGUGCCUUUGAUACUGGUGUUCUUGGGUGACCUUGAGGUAGGCGGAAUGGGUGGUGUAGCGGUGAAAUGCAUAGAUAGCAUCCAGAACCCCGAUUGCGAAGCAGCUGCCUAGACUGUAACUGAACGCUGAGGCAGCGAAAAGCGUGGGGAGCGAACAGG